rnacentral:lncRNA from 1 species
GUGACCCUGCACCUAGUCUCAUCGAUCACACACUGAAUUGUUUUCUUCUACAAGGAAGAGUAAGUAAGCAGAGUGCGCAGAGAGAAGGAUGGACGCUGAGAUAGUUUGGAUGUCUGUCCCCUCCAAAUGUCAUGUUGAAAUUUGAUUCCCAGUGUUGGAGGUGAAGCCUAAUGAGAGAUGCUUGGGUCAUGGGGGUAGAUCCUUUAGGAAUAGAUUAAUGGUGGGAGGAGUGGGUGAGUUCUCACUCUAUUAGUUUCUGAGAGAACUGGUGUUAAAAAGAGCCUGGCACCCCCCCUCCCCUCUCUCUUUGCUUCCUUUCUUUCCAUGUGACCUCUGCACACUCGGGCUGCCCUUCAACUUCCCCCAUGAGUGAAAGCAGCCUGAGACCCUCACCAGAUGCAGAUGCUGGUGCCAUGUUUCUUGUGCAGCCUGCAGAACCGUGAGCCAAACAAGCCUUUUUUUCUUUGUAAAUUAAUUAUCCAGCCUCAGGUCUUCCUUUAUAGCAACACAAAUGGACUAAGACAGAUGCCAUCGCUUCAAUACUGUGGAGAAGAGAAAGUUUCCUAGAUUCUUGGUCAAAGCAAGCAUGGGGAGAAGGGAAGAGCAUGAUUUCCCCUGUAUGUUCCAACUGUUUGGUGUCUUAGUCCAUGGGUUUUAAAAUAAAACCUCUGGCCAACCGAGGAUGGGCUGCCCUCUUGCACUGCAUGUAGUGGAAGUGAUAAAACAGAUACCAGGGGAUGCAAUCCUAGGCAUCAAUGGCAAAUUCAGCUCUAACUUUCAUGAGGCCUCUCUCUCCCUCACACCAGCUUGUUUGUGCAUCUGCCUGGGACCAGGGGUGGACUUUCCAGUCUUGCCUGCAGAAGGUUCUGUAAAGACACAGAACAGUGCAUUGAGUAGAUUAAUGCCAGCACUGUGCUAUGCUCCAAACCAAAGGGUCGUUUUCUAUUCUUGUUCCCAUUUUAAGAAUGUCCAGUCUAGGCCAGGCAUGGUGGCUCAAGCCUGUUAUCCCAGCACUUUGGGAGGCCGAGGCGGGCAGAUCACGGGGUCAAGAGAUUGAGACCAUCCUGGCCAACAUGGUGAAAUCCUGUCUCUACUAAAAAUAUAACAAUUAUCUGGGCGUGGUGGCACGCGCCUGUAGUCUCAGCUACUGGGGAGGCUGAGGCAGGAGAAUCACUUGAACCCAGAAGGCAGAGGUUGCGGUGAACCGAGAUCACGCCACUGCACUCCAGCCUGGAGACAGAGCAAGACUCUCUCAAAAAAAAAAAAAAAAAAAAAAAAGAAUGUCCAGUCUGGUGGCUCAUGCCUAUAAUUCCAGCAUUUGGGAGGCCAAGGUGGGAGGAUUCAGCCUGGGCAACAUAAAACAUAGGUUUUUUUUUGUUUUUUUUUUUUUUUUUACAAAAACUGUUUUCUACAACAUAAAACACAGUUUUUCUACCAAAAAAACUAAACAUAGCAGGCUGUUGUGAGGCAUUCAUGUAGUCCCAUCUAUGUAGGAGGAUCGCUUGAGCCCAGGAGUUCAAGGCGGCAGUGAGCAAUGCCUGUGCCACUGCAUUCCAGCCUGAGUGACAAAGCAAGACCCUACCUCUUAAAAAAAAAAAAAAAAAAAAAAAAAA